ACUAGCUUCCGUUCCUUUUCCUUCGCGUUCCGGUGGGAAACAGGGGCGAGUCACUGUGUUCCGGGUUCUUUGCGGCCGCUCGGAGCCCGCAGUCUCCUGACUAUACAGACCAGCUCGCAGCGAUGCUAAUCUCGGGGGUGGAGUCCCACUCCGGAGUGCAGCGAGCGUGCGCUGUGUGAGCGGACCCGGACCCGACCGCCGAGUGGAGGAAGUGAACAGUUCAACAAAACUGCUGAUGACGCCAGUAAGAGAAGGCGAGAAUUUCACCUUGUCUUCGGGGAAAGGAGCCACAGCGUUCAUGCUCCUCUCAGAGGCAUCCGUGAGCACCAAAGAGAAUUCUAGGCUGCCAUGAGGUGGGUUGCUUCCUUCACCACAUACUUCUCCAGCCAUGAUGUUCCACCUCACUACAGGCCCAGAAGCAAUGGAGCUGCUGACCAUGGACUGAAACAUCUGAAACAUGAACCAAAAGAAAGGGAUUCUCCACAAGGGAACAGAGAUACUCUUGAAAUCUCCACUGACCAAGUGACCAAAACAUGUGAUGGAAGGAGAGAGAUUUGGGAACCAAAGAGCACACAAUCGCUUUCGAACUUUCUUACUGAAAUUUCUACCUUGGAAGAUGACGUUCCCAACAGAGAGGAAGCCUGAAGAUGGAACACCACACCCAGAGCCCAGGGGAGCUUUGGCCCAGGCCAAGUGUCCUCCAGGGUCAUCUUGUCCCCUGUAGCCACCUCUUCUUCCCUGUAAAGAGGGUACUAAAAUGUUCAUCAUCAGUUCUUUCCUUUAAGUUUUGUAUUUUGAAUAACUCCUGUGCUUGUGCACAUUGAUAUAUUUGUUAUGCUUUUCUCUAAUUAAUCUGCCUUUAAAAAAUGGAGGUUGUCAGCUAUGAGCCUUGAUGAUGGGCAUGAAAGGGGUCCCCUACACGGACAUGUGAUCUGCUUUCUAAAAAUUAUUAUAUUCCUGAGCAUUUCCCACAUCCUUAAUAUGCUGCAAGGGACAUUUUUGAUGGCCUAACAGACCCUCUUUUUUCUUUUUAGGACUGGUGGGUGGCAUCUCAGGGAAGGUGGACCUUUCCCACAGUCUCAAGGGGGUAAAUAAAUAAAUGGAUUUGGAUCUAUGUUUGGAAUAAAGGGGAUAAUUUGACAAACUAUAGCCUGCUAACCAAAUCUGCCUAUCACCUUUCUUAAUGCCUCAUGCCAUACAAAAUGCUUUUUUAUAAUCUUAAGUAAUUUUUAAUGAUUUAAAUAAUUAGAAAAAAUCAAAAGACGAAUAUUAUUUUGUGAGAGGAAAAAUUACAUGGAAUCGAAAUUUCAGUAUUCAAAGCUGAAGUCUUAUUGGAAUAGAGCCACAGUUAGUCAUCUACAGUGUCUACUGCUGCUGUACCUCUACAAUGGCAGUGUUGAACAGAUGCCACAGAGACCACACCCUCUGGAAAGCCUAAAUAUUUACUAGCUGGUCCUGUUCUAAACCCAAUCAUGGUAACUCCAUUUUCCUCCCAGUGUUUAUUUUUGGGAGGAGCAUGAGAUCCAGUUCCAGGUCAAUGAAACACAAAGGAACUCUAUCCAGAGAGCUGCUGGGGCAGUUUUUUUCUCUGAUGAAAAGGAGAUAGGUGAAAGUGCUUCCUUCUUGCUUGAAUAUUGCACGUGAGUAUGUGAUGGACAGAGCCGUGGCAGCCAUUUUGUAGUUACAGGGAAAAGCCAAGAGAAUCAGGGAGAAACUCACUUAGAUAUGGCUGAGCUGUUAAAUCAACCAAACCUGGAUCAUCUUCUAGAUUUCUUUUUAUGUUUAAAAUGAAUAUACUGGUUGGUUGCUGUGGUGACUAGGGAGGUUGAGGCAAGAGGAUCACAAGUUCAAGGUCAACCUCAGCAUCUUGGGGAGACCCUGUCUCCAAAUAAAAUUAGAAAGGGCAUAGGGGAUGUAGCUCAGUGUAGAGCACCCCUGAGCUCAUUCCCCAGUACCACAAAAAUAAAUAAAUAAAUAAAUAAAUAAAUAUACUGAUAGGCAUUCUUAUAACCAAUUAUGGUCUAAAGCAUAUGAUAUGAGAAAUUAAUUUUUAAAUGAUAGCAUAGUAUUUUAUCCUAUUGAUGAUCCAUAAGAACUUUAGUUUCUUAUAGGCAUUUUCCCUAUUUUUUCUACUAUAAAUUUUUGUCUUUUUAAAAAAGUACAAACUUAACAAAUAAAUCUCAUGAUAUAUGCAUGUCACAGUUGACCUUACCUUCUUUCUUCUUUGAUAUACCACUGAAAAACUGUCAAGGAAAAGGCAAGCAAGAGACUCCCGCUUCCCCCAGAAUGUUCUAACAACUUUUACAUUGAAUACAAAUUAUCCCCUUUAUUUGGCAGAAAUUCAUAUCCAUGCUUAUAUAUUUCCAAUGCAAAUUCUAUUUCUCUCCAGAUAAGAAUUGAGGGAGUUUUCAGCAAAGUUGAAUCAGCAACCAAUUGUGUAAUUAAAAGCAUUUUUC